rnacentral:rRNA from 1 species
UACGAAGGGGGCUAGCGUUGCUCGGAAUCACUGGGCGUAAAGGGCGCGUAGGCGGCCAUUCAAGUCAGGGGUGAAAGCCUGUGGCUCAACCACAGAAUUGCCUUUGAUACUGUUUGGCUAGAGACCGGAAGAGGUAAGUGGAACUGCGAGUGUAGAGGUGAAAUUCGUAGAUAUUCGCAAGAACACCAGUGGCGAAGGCGGCUUACUGGUCUGGUUCUGACGCUGAGGCGCGAAAGCGUGGGGAGCAAACAGG